rnacentral:pre_miRNA from 8 species
GAGCUGCAUGAGAACUUUCUGAUGUUGGUGAUACUGCAUCAGGAACUGAUUGGAUGAUAUUCAGGAGCCAUCAGUUCCUGAUGCACUCCCAUCAGCAUCGAAAGAG